GCAGGCUGCUGACAAUGAGGUGGAUGUUCAAGGGGAGCCAGAGAGCCGUGCGUGGGGCUUGCUGUCCUAGGUGAACAAAAUCAAACAUUGACGAGAAGGAAGCUGUGCACACACAGCCGCUUCUCCCUCCCACCCCCUUUCUCUCGCUCCUCGGGGUCUCUGUUUGAUUUGGGACCCAGAAUAGGAUAAUGGAAACUAAAAGCAUUUUUUUCUGCCAAUGUAAAGGGUAAUAUAAUCACCGGCAGCUGAGAGACAAUGACAUUUUUAUAGACCUUCUGGCAACACUGGAGUGUGAAGGAGACUGACAGUUGGAAAUGUCUGAGGACCUGAGAAGAAGAAGAAAGUCAAGCAGGCCGUUUCCAGAGGAGCAGGGUAAAUGUGCUUGUGGAUUGCUGUUUCUUGGAUGA
rnacentral:lncRNA from 1 species